AUAUAUAUAUAUAUAUAUAUUUUACAUUUCUAUCAGUCCUUUAAGCUCCUCCCUUUAACUUUAGUCCAGGACAAGCCUUUCAAGGCUGCUGGGUAACGUAGUCUCUCUCUCUCAUGGGAGUGUUCGGGGCCCAAACGCUCCCCCCUCACCAAGCUCCAUCUGUUUGUGGAAGUUUUGCCUCCUCACGAAGUCCAAGAAGACUCUUUCUUGUUGAUUUCAGUUGCAGUUUCUUCUAACAAAAAAAUUGUCUGAAAAUUUUAGGAAUCAUAAAUCUCUUUAAACUCUCCAAGCCGAGCCCACCAGAAAGUUGCUAUAAUAGUUCAUGGUCAAAGACAUGGUGGAUACACCCAUCAAAGAGAAGCAGCCCACGAUGCAAUUUAUAAAUGUUUGCCUUCAGACCAGACCUAUGCAUACUAAAUAGCCUAA